GGGCCUAAAGCAUCCGUCAACCGGCUCUGUAAGUUUUCGGUUAAAUCUAUACGCUCAACGUAUAGGCUGCCGGGAAUACUGCAAAGCUAGGGAGUGGGAGAGGUAGACGGUACUCGGUAGGAAGGGGUAAAAUCCUUUGAUCUAUUGAUGACCACCUGUGGCGAAGCGGUCUACUAKAACACGUCCGACGGUGAGGGAUGAUAAGAGGUGGGAGCAAACCGGAUUAGAUACCCGGGUAGUCCCAGACUGUAAACAAUGCAAACUCAGUGAUGCACUGGCUUGUGGCCAGUGCAGUGCCGCAGGGAAGCCG
rnacentral:rRNA from 1 species